ensembl:lincRNA
AUUUUGUCGGUCAUGAAUAAUUCAGCAGAUAGGAGCGGCGCAGAGGGCCCCUCCACUGUCCAGGCCGGCUCAGGCCCUGCCCCAAGUGCCCAACCCACCCGGCCCUGUCCUGUCACCGGGUCAGUCACAGAGAAUAAACAACCUGUGUGCCAGGCAUGCUGACAGAGGGGUUUUCAUCAGCCCUGGGGUCUGCAACGGGAGAAGAGGGAGAACGCGGGAAGUAGAAGAAGGUGCAACUGGGAGCUGCAGCCACUGGAUAAUGAAUUCCCUAAGACAGAGAAUCAAGGAACAGGAACUCAGCAUUCCCCACGGCACUCUGUGCAAAAAUCAGGAUCCCGUCGAGCACGUCCUUGACUUAUGGAUCCACCUCCUCCCCGCAUCAAGGAUCCUAGGACCAGACAGCCACGUUGAAGGUCGCAGGUGCCACUCCUCGGCGGCUCUUGGGCGGCGCCCGCACAUGCGGAGCCUGCCACCCACCGGGGACGGGCGGUACUGCAGGCGCGGGGGCCGCUCACCUGGAAAUGUUUACCGCGCCGGGCCCAGGGGCCUCGCCCCGCAGGCGGCUUGCGGUCUCUGGGAACAAACGCCAGCGACCCUCGCGUGGGUAGCAACUUUCUCAUCUGCAUUUGGUGGACGCCUUUGUUCUUACAACUCAAGUAAUGUACAUUUAUGGCAGAAUAUUUUAAACAAAAUAUUAAAGACUAGCUAUAACUCCUGCUAACCUGUGCGUGUAGUCUUCAUGGUAUUUUUCUAUGCAUUUUACAAUUGUGGAAGCAGACAUUUCAUAAUAUUUUGUAGCCCGCUAUGUCUUUUUUCUUUUUGUAUUAUUGGAGAUUGAACCAAGAGCCAGCUACUUGGGAGGCUGAGGCAGGAGUAUUCCAAGUUUAACACCCAGCCUGAACUUUUUCUUUUCUUUUUUCCUUUUCUUUCCUUUUCGUUUUUUGGGUUUUUUUUUUGUUUGUUUGUUCUCUGGUACCGGGAAUCGAACUCAUGACCUUGCACUUGCCAGGCAGGCACUGUGCCGCUGAGCUAUCUUUCCUUUUCUUUUUUUUUCUUUUCUUUUCUUUUUCUUUCUUUUCUUUCUCUUUCAUUUCUUCCUUCCUUCUUUUCUUUCUUUCUUCUUCUUUCUUUCUUUCUUUCUUUCUUUCUUUCUUUCUUUCUUUCUCUUCCUUCUUUCCUUCCUUCCUUCCUUUGAGACAGGGUUCCACUAUGUAGCCCAGGCUGGCCUCUAAUUUGCAGCAAUCCCCCUGCCUCAGCCUCCCAACUGCUAAGAUCACAGGCAUGUGCCACCAUUCCCAGCCAGCCUGAACAAUUCAGUGAGACAGUGUCUUUAAAAUAAAAAAGACUGAACCAUUUUGUUAUACCAGCUCUGGGCCAGCCCUCAAGGGGAUUCAGAGGAACUGCGAAAGAACAGGAUCUCCUGGAACUCACAAUGGAAAUGAGGAAAUGGAACAGUCCUUGUUCUACAAGGUACAGUGAGUUUAAACACUGCUAUGGACCUAGGCCACAGGGCAGGAGGUAAGCAGGGAAGGCUCCCUGUGAGAGCUGGGGACGGGGCGGGGACUGCAGAUACAGGUGAGAAAGUGAGUAGCAAGCGCACUUCCAGACAGAGGCCAGGCUGAGAGGCCUCUGGUGCAGAUAUGUAU